GCUCCAUUGGCCCUUGGCUGCUACACAUAGACCUUAGCCAUCUGUUGGGCAGUUUGCCCGAGUCUUGUCUUGCUGUGGCAGCCUGUAUUUUACUUACAAUGGGACUCUUGAAUCAUUCUCCUGAACAAACUAGAAGAGAAACAACCAAAGGAAAAGACCAUGAAGAGGUGACAUGGCUGUUGGAGCCCAGGAAUGCUGGUACUAAUCGUACACAUCUCUUGUACUCAAUGAUAAAAGGUCAAAACGUGGAGCCCA